rnacentral:rRNA from 1 species
AAUGUUGGGUUAAGUCCCGCAACGAGCGCAACCCUUAUCCUUGUUUGCCAGCGAGUAAUGUCGGGAACUCCAGGGAGACUGCCGGUGAUAAACCGGAGGAAGGUGGGGACGACGUCAAGUCAUCAUGGCCCUUACGAGUAGGGCUACACACGUGCUACAAUGGCGCAUACAGAGGGCGGCCAACUUGCGAAAGUGAGCGAAUCCCAAAAAGUGCGUCGUAGUCCGGAUUGGAGUCUGCAACUCGACUCCAUGAAGUCGGAAUCGCUAGUAAUCGUAGAUCAGAAUGCUACGGUGAAUACGUUCCCGGGCCUUGUACACACCGCCCGU